UGGGGAAUAUUGGGCAAUGGGCGAAAGCCUGACCCAGCAACGCCGCGUGAAGGAAGAAGGUCUUCGGAUCGUAAACUUCUAUCCUUGGUGAAGAUAAUGACGGUAGCCGAGAAGGAAGCCCCGGCUAACCACGUGCCAGCAGCCGCGGUAAUACGUAGGGGGCAAGCGUUGUCCGGAAUGAUUGGACGUAAAGGGCGCGUAGGCGGCCUGGUAAGUCUGGAGUGAAAGUCCUGCUUUUAAGGUGGGAAUUGCUUUGGAUACUGUCGGGCUUGAGUGCAGGAGAGGUAAGUGGAAUUCCCGGUGUAGCGGUGAAAUGCGUAGAGAUCGGGAGGAACACCAGUGGCGAAGGCGACUUACUGGACUGUAACUGACGCUGAGGCGCGAAAGUGUGGGGAGCAAACAG
rnacentral:rRNA from 1 species